UGGGGAAUAUUGGACAAUGGGGGCAACCCUGAUCCAGCCAUGCCGCGUGUGUGAAGAAGGCCUUUUGGUUGUAAAGCACUUUAAGCAGGGAGGAGAGGCUAAUGGUUAAUACCCAUUAGAUUAGACGUUACCUGCAGAAUAAGCACCGGCUAACUCUGUGCCAGCAGCCGCGGUAAUACAGAGGGUGCGAGCGUUAAUCGGAAUUACUGGGCGUAAAGCGAGUGUAGGUGGCUCAUUAAGUCACAUGUGAAAUCCCCGGGCUUAACCUGGGAACUGCAUGUGAUACUGGUGGUGCUAGAAUAUGUGAGAGGGAAGUAGAAUUCCAGGUGUAGCGGUGAAAUGCGUAGAGAUCUGGAGGAAUACCGAUGGCGAAGGCAGCUUCCUGGCAUAAUAUUGACACUGAGAUUCGAAAGCGUGGGUAGCAAAACAGGAUUAGAUACCCUGGUAGUCCACGCCGUAAAACGAUGUCUACUAGCCGUUGGGGUCCUUGAGACUUUAGUGGCGCAGUUAACGCGAUAAGUAGACCGCCUGGGGGAGUACGGCC
rnacentral:rRNA from 1 species